GAUGAACGCUGGCGGCGUGCCUAACACAUGCAAGUCGAACGGAUUUUACUCGCUGCAGAGACUUCGGUCAAAGCUUGAGUAAAGUUAGUGGCGGACGGGUGAGUAACGCGUGGGCAACCUGCCUCAUACUGGGGGAUAACAGUUGGAAACGACUGUUAAUACCGCAUAAGCGCACAGCAUCGCAUGAUGCAGUGUGAAAAACUCCGGUGGUAUGAGAUGGGCCCGCGUCAGAUUAGCCAGUUGGCGGGGUAACGGCCCACCAAAGCGACGAUCUGUAGCCGGACUGAGAGGUCGGACGGCCACAUUGGGACUGAGACACGGCCCAAACUCCUACGGGAGGCAGCAGUGGGGGAUAUUGCACAAUGGAGGAAACUCUGAUGCAGCGACGCCGCGUGAGUGAAGAAGUAUUUCGGUAUGUAAAGCUCUAUCAGCAGGGAAGAAAGGCUCGUAAGAGAGAUGACGUA
rnacentral:rRNA from 1 species